rnacentral:ncRNA from 1 species
AUCUUCGGGGCGGGGUGAAAGUCCCCACCGGCGGUAUAGUCCGCGAGCCGCAAGGCAUGAGCCGGUGUGAUUCCGGUACCGACAGUGACAGUCUGGAUGAUAGAAGAU